rnacentral:rRNA from 1 species
GACGCACCGUGCAAGCGUUAUUCGGAAUCAUUGGGCUUAAAGAGCGCGUAGGCGGCGCGGUCAGUCGGGUGUGAAAUCUCGGAGCUUAACUCCGAAACUGCAUUCGAUACUGCCGUGCUUGAGGACUGGAGAGGAGACUGGAAUUUACGGUGUAGCGGUGAAAUGCGUAGAUAUCGUAAGGAAGACCAGUGGCGAAGGCGGGUCUCUGGACAGUUCCUGACGCUGAGGCACGAAGGCCAGGGGAGCAAACGGG